UACACCAAUGCUCUUCAAGGACAGCAGGGUUGGGGUGAGGCAUUUGUCACUCUGCCUGAGGAUGCAACAUUCUCACUCGCCCUGGCCUCUCAGCUCAGGGCAAACCACAGCACAGCAGAAGAGCAAAACCACCCCUCCUGGAAGUUCUAGAUUCUGAAUGUGUCUAAUAGGCCCAGAGGUGAGGGUCUAUAGGCAGAUCGGAGAGUCUGAGAGACAGAAGCCCCUUGCUUCAGCAACAUUGUGUAAGGACAGAGCCUUAAAUCAGGAAGAGGUUCUCUCUCCAACUAUAUACAGGAGAUACUGAAGACUUUGCCUGGCAGCCUAGAGACUUUAUCAUCACAGGAGAUGGAUAGCCAAGAUGAAACCAUGAGACAACAUUCUGGGCCAAGCAGUGAGCAAUGAGGAGACCCAGACCUCAGGGUCCUGGCUGUGUCUUUGCGAAAAAGAAGAGGCAUUAAGAAAGAUUCCCUGAGGAUACUGCAAGAACACUGAAAUUGCCUUGUUUGCAUACCACUACACUAGAGAUGUUUCAGAAAAGCCGCUUCCCUUUUGGUACCUCCUAUCCAGAAUGACUCCAGGUGGAAUCGUAAAGACCAGUUAGCAGGCCACCACGUGUGUUUCAAGUGAAUGACACUGAUGACUUGGACCAGGACAAGACUCCCCUUUCUAGGACCCACAGAGAGGUGAGGGAGAGAGAACAAGGCAAGGACAAAACUUCUUUGGACUAUUUUCUGCACAUCCCCAGCAGAGAUUGAUGAAUGCCUCUGAGUCAGCAAAAUCUCCAGUGGUGAAAUAGAAAGCGUACACUCUGCACAUUCAGGCAGCCCAGGCCAGCCCACACGGAGAAGAGGAUGUUCACAUCCAGCCUGUUCAGUGGACCCCAUGGGGCAUGUCAAAGGCUAUUUCAUUUCCAGGACCUUCUAUCACACCCCCUUUCUUCCAUCCCUGCUAAUAUUUGUGACUUUCCAGCUUUCUUCUCUGAAAUUAAAAUAAAUCCUUUGCAAAGUGAAAUCAGUUCAUCUGAGCUAGUGCUGGUUAAGAUUUACAAAAUAAAGAGGAAGUUUACACCCACCGGCCUCAAAGAGUCAUUUUAGCCGGCAGUCAUUAGCUCCACCGAGGACCCUAGUGUUCUCUGUCUGAUAGCGUUGCUGGUGGAAGGGAUGCGGGAAAUUCUUUGUGCUCUGUUGCUCUGCUCCAUACUUAGUGACGGAUCAUCUCUUGGGCCCCUGACACAAAGGAUGGCAAUGUCACCACUCAGCUCUCUGGCAGCCUCUUCUAGGCUGACAGUCUAGCCUCAGGGAUCACUGCAGACCCCUGCAGUUUCCCCUUCCAAUGAAAUCAGCACCCAGCCUUUUACACCCGCUAGCUAGGACACAAACAACAUCCCUCU